rnacentral:rRNA from 1 species
AAUGAACGCUGGCGGCGCGCCUAAUACAUGCAAGUCGAGCGAGAAGACGUAGCAAUACGUUUGUAAAGCGGCGAACGGGUGAGGAAUACAUGGGUAACCUACCCUAGAGUGGGGAAUAACUAGCCGAAAGGUUAGCUAAUACCGCGUACGCUCCUUGGACUUCGGUUCAGGGAGGAAAGCGAUGCCGAGGGUAUCGCGCUCUUGGAUGGGCUCAUGUCCUAUCAGCUUGUUGGGAGGUAACGGCUCACCAAGGCUUCGACGGGUAGCUGGUCUGAGAGGACGAUCAGCCACACUGGCACUGCGACACGGGCCAGACUCCUACGGGGGCAGCAGUAAGGAAUAUUGCGCAAUGGGCGAAAGCCUGACGCAGCGACGCCGCGUGGGGGAUGAAGGUCUUCGGAUUGUAAACCCCUUUCGGGA